GGAGAGAUGGCCGAGUUGGCUGAAGGCGCUCGCCUGGAAAGCGGGUGCACGGGAAACCGUGUCGUGGGUUCGAAUCCCACUCUCUCCGCCA
rnacentral:tRNA from 1 species